UGUAUUUCGGCAAAAGGAAUCCUCUGUCCUAGAUAUCCAUUUGGUCCAGGUGAAGUCCCAUCAGACAAUGUAGCAUGGGAACUACUUCCAUAUCGACAUAAAGGCGUCCAUCCAGCACUUUCUGAUGGCUUUGGUUUUAGCUUUUUCUUUCUGCAGAUAAAGAAUAGCAAAGCAGCAAGAAUCAUGACCACAGUCAGCAGAACAAAACUUCCAAGAACAGAACUCACUAUAACCCAAACAUUUCUCUUGUUAGAACCUGUCCGGGAAGCCACAAAAUUGACCAUUUUCAUAAUCUCAACGGCAUUCAGGAUGGCAUUCUUCCUUAUUG
rnacentral:misc_RNA from 1 species